rnacentral:rRNA from 1 species
CAGUCGCCGCGGUAAUACGAAGGGGGCUAGCGUUGUUCGGAUUUACUGGGCGUAAAGCGCACGUAGGCGGAUCGAUCAGUCAGGGGUGAAAUCCCAGAGCUCAACUCUGGAACUGCCUUUGAUACUGUCGAUCUGUAGUAUGGAAGAGGUGAGUGGAAUUCCGAGUGUAGAGGUGAAAUUCGUAGAUAUUCGGAGGAACACCAGUGGCGAAGGCGGCUCACUGGUCCAUUACUGACGCUGAGGUGCGAAAGCGUGGGGAGCAAACAGGAUUAGAGACCCGUGUAGUCCCUGUCUCUUAUAC